rnacentral:rRNA from 1 species
CUCUUUAUGUGUAUAUGUAAAGUAUGACCUGCCCACUGAUAGUAUUGAAGGGCCGCGGUAAUUUGACCGUGCAAAGGUAGCAUAAUAAUUAGUCUCUUAAUUAGAGGCUGGUAUGAAUGGUUUGACGAAAUAUAUACUGUCUAUUAUUUUAUAUUAGAAUUUAAUUAUUAAGUUAAAAAGCUUAAAUGUAUUUAUGGGACGAGAAGACCCUAUAGAGUUUAACAAAUUUCAUUAUAUUUUGGGUUUGAUUACUUUUAUAUAAUGUCUUAUGUUUUGUUGGGGUGACAGAAAGAUAGGAAAAACUCUUUUUAUAGAAUUAUAUUUAUAUAUAUAUCUAUGAUCCAUUAAUAGUGAUUAUAAGACUAAAUUACC